rnacentral:rRNA from 1 species
UACGUAGGGUGCAAGCGUUAAUCGGAAUUACUGGGCGUAAAGCGUGCGCAGGCGGUUUUGUAAGUCAGAUGUGAAAUCCCCCGGGCUUAACCUGGGAACUGCGUUUGAAACUACAAGGCUAGAGUGUGGCAGAGGGGGGGUGGAAUUCCACGUGUAGCAGUGAAAUGCGUAGAGAUGUGGAGGAACACCGAUGGCGAAGGCAGUGUCCUGGGGAGUACCUGACGCUCAGGUGCGAAAGCCAAGGGAGCAAACAGG